rnacentral:piRNA from 1 species
GCCACUGCUAAGGAUCUGAUGCACCAAGAU